rnacentral:rRNA from 1 species
CUACGGGGUGCAGCAGUGAGGAAUAUUGCACAAUGGGGGGAACCCUGAUGCAGCAACGCCGCGUGGAGGAUGACGCAUUUCGGUGUGUAAACUCCUUUUAUAUGUCAAGAAAAUGACGGUAGCAUAUGAAUAAGCACCGGCUAACUCCGUGCCAGUAGCCGCGGUAAUACGGAGGGUGCAAGCGUUACUCGGAAUCACUGGGCGUAAAGGACGCGUAGGCGGGUUGGAAAGUCAGGUGUGAAAUCGUACAGCUUAACUGUAGAACUGCACUUGAAACUUCUAAUCUAGAGUAUGGGAGGGGGAGAUGGAAUUAGUGGUGUAGGGGUAAAAUCCGUAGAUAUCACUAGGAAUACCUAAAGCGAAGGCGAUCUCCUGGAACAUUACUGACGCUAAGGCGUGAAAGCGUGGGGAGCAAACAGGAUUAGAUACCCGCGUAGUC